rnacentral:rRNA from 1 species
UACGGAGGGUGCGAGCGUUGUCCGGAAUCACUGGGCGUAAAGGGCGCGUAGGCGGCUUGGGAAGUCUGUGGUGAAAGCUCGUGGCUCAACUGUGAGUCGGCCAUAGAUACUCCUAAGCUCGAGUCGACUAGAGGCAGAUGGAAUUCCGGGUGUAGCGGUGGAAUGCGUAGAGAUCCGGAAGAACACCGGUGGCGAAGGCGGUCUGCUGGGGUCGAACUGACGCUGAGGCGCGACAGCGUGGGGAGCAAACAGG